rnacentral:rRNA from 1 species
CAGCCGCCACGGUAAUACGUAGGUGGCAAGCGUUGUCCGGAAUUAUUGGGCGUAAAGGGCUCGCAGGCGGUUUCUUAAGUCUGAUGUGAAAGCCCCCGGCUCAACCGGGGAGGGUCAUCGGAAACUGGGAAACUUGAGUGCAGAAGAGGAGAGUGGAGUUCCACGUGUAGCGGUGAAAUGCGUAGAGAUGUGGAGGAACACCAGUGGCGAAGGCGACUCUCUGGUCUGUAACUGACGCUGAGGAGCGGAAGCGUGGGGAGCGAACAGGAUUAGAUACCCCAGUAGUCCCUGUCUCUUAUAA